CGAAACAUUGUUCGAACAUGCAAAUAAGGUGGGCAAGAGUCUUGUUGGAGAAAACAACGUUCAUCUCCUCCCCAUAUCCAUGGCAGCAGAAGACUUCAGUUUAUUUGCACAGAGGACUGCAGCUGCAAUUUAUGUGAUUGGGAUAAAGAAUGAGACCCUGAAAUCAGAUCAGCCAUUGCACUCACCUUACUUUUUUAUUGAUGAAGAGGCUCUUCCUAUUGGAGCGGCUCUCAAUGCUGCCGUUGCAAUUUCAUACCUGGAUAGCCAUGUUGCAACUAAUUGAGAGCUUUGACAUCAAUGUGAACAUUGCAAAACAUAAUAAGAAGCGUUAUGGUUAGCAUUGUAAAGCAGAUUCAAGAAAAAGGGCGAGAUUUCUAUUUAUCUUUCUAAUAGUUACUAUAUGAUAUUGAAACUUUUUGUUCGAGGAAAUCCUAACAAAUUAGUCAGCAAAAGUAACGAUAGACUCCUCUUAAUGAACUGAUACGUGUGCUGAUUGAGAUAAAAGGUUUAAAACUAAAUAACAUCUUCUGUAGUUUUUGCUAGUGAUAAAAGGGUGGACUUGACAUGAGGCAUAAAUCACCAGUACAAUUAAGAUUUUAUAUAUAUAUAUUUGAAAUAGAAAGGGAUUUUAGGCUUCUAGCAAUUCAUUUUUUUUUUGGGUACCAGGGUUGUUAGCAGAACACAAAAGAAAAAAAAAAUAAAACGAAGAAUAACAAAUUCUGAGAACUAAUUGAGGAUGACCGUCCUCCCCACACACACUCAGACAGAUACUAAUUCCCUGGUUUGACAAGAGCUAGGCCCAGUCCAAGAUACAGAAUCUUAACCAUUUAUAAUUCUACGAGGUUACCCAUCGAAGCAAAACCAAACCCAAGUGAAGAGUAAAACAAAACCCAAGAAACCCAAAAAUGGUGCUGUGGUCCUACCCACCAACGGUAAAGCAACUGGCAGUAACAAUCGGGUUUUGCCUCACCGGGACUUCCCUCAUGGCCGUCGGAGCUUACCUCUCCCUUGUCAACAUAGCUCCUCAACAAGAACGCGCCCAAGCCCGUAGCCAAUACGUUAAAGACCGACUUCGAAAGAUGCUUGACGAUUAGCCACCCCGCCCCAAAAAACAGAAGAAGAAGAAGAAGAAGAAGACCAAAGUAAGGAAAAA
rnacentral:lncRNA from 1 species